CCCUGCCUGCAGGCCCGUCUCCCCCGUUUCCUCCAGAGCAAUGACCAGGUGACAGCCUCCUCCCGUGAUGCCCCAGGGAGAUGGAGCUGGCCAGCUCCAGCCGGCACUGAGUCCGGGCUCUGACAUCCCUUCAGCCUGCUUGCCUUAGCCUGAAACACGCUCCCAGCUCACCCCCACCCCGGUGAGGGAAGCAGAAAGGCGAGUCCAGAUAAUCCCAGCAAUGAUGCCGUGACGGCACUUCAGCGGGGCCAGACGGAGACAUGGGCUUCGAAUCUCCAGGAUCCAGAAGAUGAUACACAAGGGGCGGUUCACUCUCUACCCAACAGGAGAAGCUACCGUGCCUGCUCCUCCGUUCAGGAGGCCCUGCAAGCGACAGGGCUGCCCUUCCACGUGCUCUCCGUAGAUGGAGCGUCCGUUUGUUCCCGGAAAUUGAGCCGUUUGGAGAAGAAUAAGCUGGCAUGGGACCGGAGGCGAUUCAAAUCAAGCCCGGGAAAGAGUUCUCUUCCUCCUGAAAGGCUGGCUGACGAGGCCACGAGGAGAGAGCAGGAAACACACUGAAAUAACGCUGCUCUCCGCUUCCCCGCACCUUUCGUCUGCGGGUUUCAAAGCGCUCCCUGAAUUUCCAUCACAUUUUCAUGAUGGCACGUCUUAUGGCAGGACGCAGCCCGAGUGGGACUUGCUCCAAGGGGCCUCCUGUCUCUCCAGGAAAACUCGUUCAUUUUCUUUUGUGCCAGUGAUGGAACGUGCGGUUGCUUUGUUUCCAUCACUUACCGUCCCGUGUGACAGCGACGGGGCUGCAUCCACAGCCUUUCCUAGACGGAGGCUUCCUCUGAGGGCGGCCGAGGCUGACUCCUCUUCACGUGCCCGGCAAACGGCAGAGCCUCCGCGCGUGUCCGAGGGCCUCGAUGGAUCGGAAGUGGGACCCAGGGAGAUUGCACACCUCACGCCAAGGACGGAGACAGAAGGGUGGGUUGCAGCCAGGAGUCCAGUCCGUCCAGACACUUCGUGAAGAUGGAACUCUUAUCUUUACGUAACUACUUCAGACAAACACCCCGUAGGAAUGAUGACUGGAGGGGACGGACACCAAACUUGAGGACACUUUCUAGAAAUGCAGCUGGGGGAGGGGAAGGUGUCAGGAUGAUCCCAUGAGUCAGUGGGGCUCGAAAGUAUCUUUCGACAAAGGCUAUUUACCCACCCGUAGGGUAGGCUCUAGUCUCACAACCUAUGAAAGAACAGGUGACUCACUGAUGGGAGAGCUUAAUGGCAGGGAAUGAAUUUGUGGCCAGUGGGCCAGGGUGAGGAGUUGUGUGGCAGGUUACACGAAGAGGCAGCUUGGAGGGUGAGACAGGGACUGGGGUCGGGGCCUGAGGAUGCUGUCCUCCGGACUGGCCGACCGGCAAGCUGGACAGGAUAAGAAGCAAGCCUCUUUGCCUCUAGAAUUUUAGAGUGGAAGAAAUAGUAAAACGAUGUACUUCAGCGUUUCUCAUCCAGAGUGUCAGAAUGCCCCGGGACUCCUGAUCAAGUAUGAGAAAGGGUAACGUCCACUACAAACUAGGGAGUGUGCUCCCCCCGGGCGAUUGGAUCACCAAUGCUGCUAAGCUGCGGUGUGUCCACCGUCGACCUGGAUUCCAGCAAAAGAAACAGGAAAACCACAGGUUUAGCCUAAUUGCUUCCUUCUAAGAAGGAAGGAACUAAGGGCCAAACCCCACUGUUCCCCUCCUGCUGGGUCCCAGGGCUAAGCUAGGUCUCAGGGCUCCAGGUCUGCAGCCCGCGGUCCGCUCAGUCCUGUGGGCUGCUCUUAGCGUCACUUUUGUUAUACCCCGCAGAUGUAACACGAACAACCCUGAACUUUAACAAAGUGCUAAAGUUUUGGGGUUUGGGAUCCUGAAAUUCCUUUAGGACCCAUGUGCUUUCUGUGCUAAUUUACUAAC